GAUGAACGCUGGCGGCGUGCCUAAUACAUGCAAGUCGAGCGAACAGACGAGGAGCUUGCUCCUCUGACGUUAGCGGCGGACGGGUGAGUAACACGUGGAUAACCUACCUAUAAGACUGGGAUAACUUCGGGAAACCGGAGCUAAUACCGGAUAACAUGUUGAACCGCAUGGUUCAACAGUGAAAGACGGUCUUGCUGUCACUUAUAGAUGGAUCCGCGCCGCAUUAGCUAGCUGGUAAGGUAACGGCUUACCAAGGCAACGAUGCGUAGCCGACCUGAGAGGGUGAUCGGCCACACUGGAACUGAGACACGGUCCAGACUCCUACGGGAGGCAGCAGUAGGGAAUCUUCCGCAAUGGGCGAAAGCCUGACGGAGCAACGCCGCGUGAGUGAAGAAGGUCUUCGGAUCGUAAAACUCUGUUAUUAGGGAAGAACAAAUGUGUAAGUAACUAUGCACGUCUUGACGGUACCUAAUCAGAAAGCCACGGCUAACUACGUG
rnacentral:rRNA from 1 species